UACAGAGGUCUCAAGCGUUGUUCGGAUUCAUUGGGCGUAAAGGGUGUGUAGGUGGCGCCGUAAGUCGGGUGUGAAAUUUCGGAGCUUAACUCCGAAACUGCAUUCGAUACUGCGGUGCUUGAGGACUGGAGAGGAGACUGGAAUUCAUGGUGUAGCAGUGAAAUGCGUAGAUAUCGUAAGGAAGACCAGUGGCGAAGGCGGGUCUCUGGACAGUUCCUGACGCUGAGGCACGAAGGCCCAGGGGAGCAAAACGGG
rnacentral:rRNA from 1 species